AGCCUCCAGGGUCUGGCGCAGCUGAGGAAAUGCGCUCCUGGCCCGGGGCAGGCGGGGGCCGGGACACAGAGGCCCUUUCAGCCCCGGAAGGCUGCGGGCCCGGGCGGGGCGGGGCGGCACCCUCCAGGAGGACGCCCGGCCUUCUCCCCACUUCUGCCUGGGAGGCCCCUGGCCCGCCGGGCUUUGUCCUAUUUAUAAACGUGCUCCUGAGUAAACUCCCUGAAGAAAGGGGCCUCUGUGUGCGGCAGCCCGGCCCACAGCGCCGCCCUCAGCACACAGUAGGCGCUCAGCAUGGCCUUCUCAUGGGACUGAGGACAAGCACCGAUCCUUGGGAGCUGCCAGGCGCCUCCAGCACCCAGAACCCCUGACAUCGAGCGCCUGGACACCUGUUCCCGAAGCCCUGUGAGCUGAUGGGCUACGUAACCUCUGGGCCGCAAUGCUAGAAUAAAAUGCAUGGACACUUGUUCCAAAACGAUGGAGGGACGGUGUGGGAAACAGGCCCCAGCCCUGUCGACUGAGGGUGAAUGCACGAGUGAAAGUGACAAUACAUGGGUAAACUGAGGCAGGCGGCAUCAGCCGUAGAGGAGAGAGGAUGAGGUUCCAACCUGGGGUGUAAGAGAAACAAGAUGCUACAGGAGCAGAAGGGCCAUCAGCUGUGCUAAGAUAAAGCAGGGACCUAAAUUUGGGCCUGAGAGCUGGUCCAGGCCUGCCAGUGGCAGUGGCUCAAGACGUGGGGCGCUGUGACUGGGUCUCAGACCCAGUGAUGCCACCAACCCAGGCUUCUCCCAGGCUCCUCCCCCAGUAGCACUCUGUCACUACAGGGUGACAUCCAGGCCCUUCACGAUCUGUCUCCAGGGAGCCACCACCUCCCCCAGCCCAACAGGCCAAGCACUGACAUCCAAACCAACUGACUACCCAGGAGCCUGGGCAUGCUUUGUCCGUCUGGCCCAGGGAGGCAUCUGCCCAUCCCUGUGAAUAGCAGCGUCUCUCCUCAACAGUCAGUGACUGCCUUCUGACAGCCUGACCAGGGGGUCUGAGUGCGAGAGGCAUCUGGCAUCUCUGAAAAAGCAGCUCCAGCCUGGCUUCCAGGGCAGGGACUCUCCACUGCCAGAUCUGCAGACUCUCCACCACCAGGGCGCCUACUGCAGUUGGGAAAAGCCUCAGAUCUAUGUCCUCUCCUGUCUGGGUGGAGCAGGCACCAUGAUCCCUGUUUCAUGCACAAGGACAUUGAUGCGCAGGGACUACAGGACUUGUCCAAGGAUGCACCCGAGCCCACGUCCCACCUAGGUUCCCCAGUCUCUCCCAGACAAUCCCUCAGAAAACAGUCCUGGGCCCAGGAACCAGAGCUGCUGAGCAGGCCCAGCUACGUAAUUUGUGGAGCCCAGUGCAAAUUGAAAAUUUGAGACCCUUUGUUAAGAAAUUAUGAAGAGGCCAGGCACAAUGGCUCACAUCUGUAAUCCCAGCACUUUGGGAGGCCGAGGCAGGCAGAUCACUUGAGUCCUGGCGUUCAAGACCAGCCUGGCCAAUGUGUCGAAACCCUGUCUCUACUAAAAAUACAAAAAUUAGCCGGGCAUGGUGGCUGGUGCCUGUAAUCCCAGCUACUUGGGAGGCUGAGGCAGGGAGAAUUGCUUGAACCCAGGUGGCAGAAGUUGCAGUGAGUUGAGAUUGUGCCACUGCACUCCAGCUUGGGCGACAGAAGGAGACUCUGUCAAAAAAAGAAAAGAAAAAAAAAAUUAUGAAGAGGCUGGGCAUGGUGGCUUAUGCCUGUAAUCCCAGCACUUUGGGAGGCCGGGGUGGGUGGAUCACCUGAGGUCAGGAGUUCGAGACUAGCCUGGCCAACAUGGUGAAAUCCAGUCUCUACUAAAAAUACAAAAAUUAGCCAAGCAUGGUGGUGCAUGCCUGUAAUACCAGCUACUUGGAAGGCUGAGGCAGGAGAAUCGCUUUAACCCUAGACGCAGAGGUUGCAGUGAGCCAACAUCAUGCUACUGCACUCCAGCCUGGGCGACAGAGUGAGACUCUGUCUCAAAAAAAAAAAAAAAAUUAUGAAGGAUUUCAAGACAAUGUCAGAAGACCAUCAAACUAAGGAUGGGACCCAUGUGACUGCACAGGUCAUAUGCUCAUGAAGCUGGCCAGGAUGGCAAGUCCAGGACACCAAGCCAGGCUCUUUCCUGGGCACCGUGCACCUCUUCCCUUGCUCAAGGUCCAUCUGCUGGCCAGUUCCUGGGAUUUCUCUGACCCGCCCACUCCACACAGGCUGGACGUCCAGGGCGUCUUCAGAGAGGUCCACUAGAUAUUAGGGGACGCUGCCCAGUACUUUCCCAUCAAAGACCAAGACCACAGAACACUUCCAGAAACGCUUCCAGAAAUGCUCAAUCCUGCCAGCACUGGAAGUUUGCCUGCCUAUUUUCAGCUGAAGAACACUUGCUCUUGAAGAAAAUGUAGCAGGGCUGUCUACCUAAGGUGAAAUGUACCAGCUGACAGAUGAGAAUCUGACACUGAUCAACAUUAAAACAAUAUAUAAGAACAAAAGUCAAGGGCAUGUUUGUGGCCUCCUAGAGUCCACAUCAUGCCCAUGAUUUGUCUCACUCUGCCCUCGGAGAGCCAGAGGAGGGAACUUCUGCCUUGGCCCACCUGGGUUUGUCCCCACCCUGGAGUCAGGCCAUGUCCACUCCCCUUCCAGUCUCUGCUGGGGUCCCUGCAUGCCCUAUGCUCUCUUCCAGCUUGUCUGAAUCCUGCCCUCCAGUCUGAGUGCCACGUGGGGGGCAGCUUGCUGGGAUGCCCGAUGCCCCACAGAACUGCAGGGCUGCUGGCCUCAGACAAUAUGGCCCUCCGCUGUCAGAUCCCUCCAGAGAUGGCCUCAACUGGAAGAAAUGCCUCUCAAAAGCCCACAUCUCCCUUUCUUGGGUUCACUCAAUGACUGGCGAGCAGUGGCAUCCUGAUGAGUGACAAGGCAGGUGGAAAGAUCCAGCCCUCUUGCCUCAACUCAGGACAAUAAUACAAGACCCACCGGGCGCAGUGGCUCACGCCUGUAAUCCCAGCACUUUGGGAGGCCGAGGCGGGUGGGUCACCUGAGGUCAGGAGUUUGAGACCAGCCUGGCCAACAUGGUGAAACCCCAUCUCUACUAAAAAUACAAAAAUUAGCUGGGCGUGGUGGUGUGUGCCUGUAAUCCCAGCUACUUGGGAGGCUGAGGCAGGAGAAUUGCUUGAACCCAGGAGGCAGAGGUUGUAGUGAGCCGAGACUGUGCCACUGCACUCCAGCCUGGGUGACAGAGUGAGACACUGUCUCAAAUUAAAAAAUAAUAAUAAUAAUAAUAAUAAAGAGUAAUACAAGACCAUCCCUGCUCCAGAGCUCCCCUUGGGGUCAGCAGGGCCUUCCAAGUUCUCCCUCUGCCCCUCCUGUGCCUUCCCCCGGAGAUGCUGACCCCAGGAGCACUCCCUGAUGAACCUCCUGCCUGGCAGUCUCCCUCUCAGAGCUGGCUUUCUAGGAAAGCUGACCUGCCUCCACGAAGCCACGUCUCUCCUACCUGGGGCACCUGUGGGCGCCUCCCACCUCUUCAAAUGCCCUGUAACAGUCAUCCAUUCAGCAGAUCCUCACUGAAGGCCUACUAUGCACCAGAUGCUGUUCUGGGUGCUGACGGUAAAGCAAAAUGAAGCAGACACCCCUGCCCUCAUGGAGCUCAGGCCUGCAGAUGAGCAGGCAAAAAGCAACCAAAAAUUUAAUGUGAUGACGUUAAACAUCAUACCACAGAAUGAUACAACAGAGAAUCUGAUUGUGGCUGGGGGCACCUGCUUUAGAACAAACUUCCUCUGGGUCAAGAAGGGUCUCUCUGAGGAGCCACGUCUGAAUCAGAGGCCAGUUCCUCGAUAAGUUGAAAGAUGAACAUUAACCAGGCAAGUUCAAAGGCUCUUGGAUGGGAAGGAAAUUGAGGUGUUGGAUUCAAGGGAACAAAAGUGAAGCUGAUGACGGGAGAUGAGGUGAGAUGUAGGACCAGAGGGCCGGGGAGGUUGCCUCAUGCUUGUAAUCCCAGCACUUUGGGAAGCCAAGGAGGGCAGAUCACUUGAGGUCAGGAGUUUGAGACUAGCCUGGCCAACAUGGUGAAACCUCAUCUCUACUAAAAAUACAAAAAAAAAAUUUAGCCAGGCAUGGUGGCGUGUGCCUGUAGUCCCAGCUACUUGGGAGGCUGAGUCAUGAGAAUCACUUGAACCUGGAAGGCAGAAGUUAGAGUGGUCCGAGAUCAUGCCCCUGGGUGACACAGUGAGACUGUCUCAAAAAAAAGAAAAAAAGAAAAAAAGAAGCAGGACCAGAGGAUGCAGGGCCUUGAGGAAGAAUCUAGAAGAAUCUAGCUUUUAUUGUCAGUGAGGUGGGAGCGUCAGAUGGUUCUAAGCAGGGCAGUCAUGGAAUCUUUUUUUUUUUUUUUCUUUUUGAGACAGAGUUUCGUACUUGUUGCCCAGGCUGGAGUGCAAUGGCACAACCUCAGCUCACUGCAACCUCCGCCUCCUGAUUCAAGCGAUUCUCCUGCCUCAGCCUCCCGAGUAGCUGGGAUUACAGGCAUACGCCACCAUGCCCGGCUAAUUUGUAUUUUUAGUAGAGAUGGGUUUUCUCCAUGCUGGUCUCAAACUCUCAACCUCAGGUGAUCCACCCGCCUCGGCCUCCCAAAGUGCUGGGAUUACAGGUGUGAGCCACCGCGCCCAGCAUGGAAUCUUUACCUGUUUCAAGCCAUCACUGGCGGUCAGACAGAAAAUGAAUUCAUCACAUGAAAUACCUGCUGUUCGGCACAUGAGCAUUUCUGGAAGUAUUUCUGGAAGUGUUCUAUGGAAUGGGUGUAAGGUUUUGGGUUUUGUUUUGUUUUUUUUCCCAUUAGUUUUUUUUUGUUUUGGGGAUGUUUUUAGAGAUUGGGUCUCAUGUUGCCCAGGCUGGACUCAAACUCCUGGGUUCAGAUGAUUCUCCCACCUCAGCCUCCCGAGUAGCUGGGACUACAGGUACGCACCACUGCACGUGGCUGAACAUUAGCUUUAACCUGCAUUUGUGCAAUAUCCUGUCUGCUGUUUAGGAGCUGGAGUCCAGCACUUGGACUUGUUUGGAUCCCCAACUGCCUUGCUCUGAGUAGGUAUUCAAUGAACAUUUGAUGAGUUGAUGCUUCUGUUUUAGCUAUGAUCUUCUGGGUUUGUUUUGUUUUGUUUUGUUUUUACACAGAAUGUUGUCCAGGCUUGAGUGCAGUAGCACAACCUCGGCUCACUACAACCUCUUCGUCCCGAGUUCAAGUGAUUCUCCUGCCUCAGCCUCCCGAGUAGCUGGGGCUACAGGUGCCCGCCACCAUGCUGGGCUAAGUUUUUUGUAUGUUUAGUAGAGACAGGCCUUCACCAUGUUGGCCAGGCUGGUCUGGAACUCCUGACCUCAAGUGAUCUGCCCACCUCAGCCUCCCAAAGCGCUGAGAUUACAGGCGUGACCCACCUUGCUAGGCCUGAUCUUCUGGUUUUGCUUCUCAAAGUGUGGUCCUCAGACCAGUAUCCGCACCAGCUGGGAGCUUGUAGGAAAUGGAGAAUCCUAGGCCCCACCCAGGCCUACUAAAUCAGAAUCUGCCAUUUAACAAGAUCCCCAAGAAAUCCUAAUGAAUGGUAAAGUUUAAGAAGCACUUCUAGAGGGCAGAAUAACUCAAGGGCCUCCGAAAAACCCGUAACAGACAGCAGGAAGUGGGCAGGGGUUAAAAGAGAGGCAGCCCUUAAGCCCAGCUGGGAUGGAAGAAGAUUUUGAUUGGAGGUAAGAGAAGGUACAUUCCAGGCUAAGACAAGGCUGGGAAGGAGGAGGCAAGUGUGAGGGUGGAGGGCCAGUGGUCUGAAGCAGCCAGCCCCAGGGGCCAGCAAAAUGAGGAGGUAGAAAUUCCCAGAAAGGCAGGAGACACCAGUUGCAGUGGCUCACGCCUGUAAUCCCAACACUUUGGGAGGCCGAAGCGGGUGGAUCACCUGAGGUCAGGAGUUGGAGACCAGCCUGGCCA
rnacentral:lncRNA from 1 species